UCGCCUGCAGGAGGCAGCCGUGGCUGAGCAGCUGAUGCUUCACCCUGGAAAGGCAAGCGGGAGCUGAGAGCCAGCGCCUCCCCUUUGCAGCAGAACAGGUGGCAGGCUCACUCUGAGCCUCAUUCACAUUGGGCUGAAUGUGCAGAAUGGACUUCAGCGAGAAGGAACACUCGGAGCCCAAACAACACUGCGGGACCUCUGCUGACUUCUGCGUUCUCCUGGGGACCCCUAGAUCACCCCUGGAGAAUCCCUUACUGCUGCUGUUACUCAACAACACCCCCUUCAGUAUGAAGCAGGACUUGAAAUACUUCAUACACAUUUAAGGAAUGUGUGUAAACAGCAAUCAAGGGCCCGAGCAUGUCUUCCAAAUGUUUACUUCAACUCUUCACCCACACCAAGCAGUAACACGCGAAUUCCACGUGCACUUUGCUUUUAGAGGCAGAGUCCCCGGCUGUGUUUCCAAUUGGGCUUUCAGUAAAAAAAAAUUCAGAA